rnacentral:lncRNA from 1 species
AUGAGAGUGGAGGUUUCACUGGAUGGAGGUAGUACCCCGUCUUUCAGUUCUCUGCUCCCUGACCUGGCUCUGCGGAAGAGCAUGAGGCGCCCUCUCAGGUUCCCUCGGGGAUGGGAAACGAGGCCCAUCUCAACUCCUGUCCUCCACACACACCAGCUCCCCCAGGAGGGGCACCCGUAGAAUCUGUAUUCGGGCAUCACCCCAUUCGUUCAGCAAUAUCUGCUGGAGUCAGGGAGCAAAGGAUGACAGACACACCUGCCCGGAGAUGAGGGAUGUGCCAGGCGGCCGGUCCCUGGAGGCAUCCCAUGCUGCUGGGCUUCUUCAUGUCCCGCUUGGGUUCCAUCAGGUUCUAUUUGAAGAUUUUUUAAA